UACGAAGGGGGCUAGCGUUGCUCGGAAUCACUGGGCGUAAAGCGCACGUAGGCGGCUUCUUAAGUCAGGGGUGAAAGCCUGGAGCUCAACUCCAGAACUGCCUUUGAUACUGAGGAGCUUGAGUCCGGGAGAGGUGAGUGGAACUGCGAGUGUAGAGGUGAAAUUCGUAGAUAUUCGGAAGAACACCAGUGGCGAAGGCGACUUACUGGACGAUUGUUGACGCUGAAGUGCGAAAGCGUGGGGAGCAAACAGG
rnacentral:rRNA from 1 species